GUGAUUUGAGGUCAAUUACAGCCAAAACCCAAUGAAACCUACAAUAUAUUAACAUAUAAUUUAGAAAAAUAGCAUUUAUAAGGCUAAGAAAUUAAAAACAAUUAUAAUUAACAAAUUACCUUGGGUUAUACGGAAGAAAAAUCAGAUAUGCCAAUUUGGAGUCAAUUAGGCGAUCAGCAAUGAACCUUGCUCUUUUUUCAAUUUGUGGGGCUAUUGUUCCAGCCUUAGACACCAUUCCGAGAUGAACAAAUAUAAUUUUCUCAUGUAGUGUAUCAUCUAGAUGUUCA
rnacentral:lncRNA from 1 species